rnacentral:rRNA from 1 species
UACAGAGGGGGGCAAGCGUUAUUCGGAAUUAUUGGGCGUAAAGGGCGCGUAGGCGGCUUGGCAAGUGGAUGGUGAAAUCCCCUCGGCUUAACCGAGGAACUGCCGUCCAAACUGCUUCGCUUGAGACCGGGAGAGGUGAGUGGAAUUCCCAGUGUAGCGGUGAAAUGCGUAGAUAUUGGGAGGAACACCAGUGGCGAAGGCGGCUCACUGGACCGGUACUGACGCUGAGGCGCGAAAGCGUGGGGAGCAAAUGG